UCGAACUCUAGUGUUGCAAAGUUGUAUUGAUAUUAUCGUCUCUUACAUAAAGUUAUCUGAUUAAGUAAAAAAUUAAUAAAUUCUCUACAGAUAUUUUUAGUGUUUAAUAUAGCACACAAUGUCAAUAAAGGUGGCGUAUUUCUGGAUAAUAUUUUCAUGUGUAAUUUUCGAAAUAAUGCUUCGAUGUUCAACAUUCAAUAUCUAUUACGAUGGAAAAGUCAAACUCGUUGGUAUUUUUGAGAGGAUAAUUUGGAAAAUUUACAUUAGUUUCCAAAUGCGUAGUGAAAAACAUUUAUUAGUCUUUAAGGUUAGUAACAUGUGUAUGUGUGCUAAGGUUUUUGACACUACGAACCUCCCCGGGAACCGCGUUGCGUGAUUGAUUGUAGCCAACGCGCAAUGGCAAAGUUAUUUUUAUAUAACUAUAAUAUACUUAUAAGUUAUAACCGUAGAUACUUUAAAUUUCUACUGCAUGUUAACACUACUAUUUUCUAAAUAUUAUUUCUUUUUGAGCUAUUUAUAAGCAUAUUAAGAAUAUUUACAUUUUAUUUCUUUUUUUAAAAAUAUCAUCGAUA